AUAAAUAAUACAUAGGGACGACAACAAAAAAAGAAAGGAAAAAAAGAAUAAUCGAGAAAGAAUAUACAGAGAGAAAGACGAGAGUGGAACAGUAACGAGAAGAAGAAAUAGACGUAGUAGAUUUAGGAGGAGAGAAAAGUUAGAGUUUGAGUUUGGAGUUUCGUUCGAAGCUUUGGUGAUGGCAUUUUGCAUCUUUACUCGCGUUAAUUCAUCAUACAGGUUCUUGUCGAAUCCGUAUUGUUUAUUUUACAAAUUUUUUAUGUGAAUUGAAGCAUGAAUAAAGUUAUUUUCGUGACUUUUUAUAUUGUUUAUUAUGUGUAAUUUAUUAUUUUUAAAUAGUUUGCACGAUGUCAUUAUUUAUAACUAGUUUGCCGUUCGAACUAAUGUUAACUAGACUAAUUUCGAAUUUUAAAUGAGAUAAUUAUUAGAAUUAUUAGCGUUAAAAGAUGUAACGUUACACUCGAUUGAUCAUGACAUGCGAUUAGUAUAAUCGUGUUGUAAACUAGAAUUUUAGACUCAUGCAUGCAAAAAUAUGAAAGAGGGAUAACCAAAAAUACACAUGCACUGGAAGAGGGAACACACGCACACACUUAGAGGAAACAAAAAAGAAUGAAGGAGAUAGAAAAAGAUAAGAGUGGAGGUAGGAUACAGGUAGAAACAUAUUAGAUAAAAAACAAAAAUACAAAGAAAAGAAAGAAAGAAAAGAAAGAUUACUUUGAAGUUUGAAGGUUCGUGAAUUGACGUUUGGAGUUUGGUUUCUAUGUUGAGUUUUUCGGUGACAUUUAUAAAUGUUUGGUUGUAAGUAAAAGCAUAAAAUAAUUGUUUAAAUGAUUUCAUGGCAACAAUAAUUUCCCUUUAUCACACUUUUAAAAUCUAAGAAAGUGUUUCAAUGUAGUUUGUAAACGUUUUGUGUGCAUAGACAUUGUAGUUGUUUGGACCCAAUGUUGUUUCUGAUCAAUGUUUUAAACUUUUAAUCAAGUAUUUUUUUGGGUUCAAUUUAGUUCCUUAAAAGUACAAAUCUUUGAGGGAAAUAGUAUGUUUUGAGCAUUUAUGGGAGUUCUUAUUUUUUACUAGUCUAUUGACAUUUGACAACUACACAAAUGGGCUUAAAUAUUUGGUUCUAAUUAUAAAUGUUAGAACAUUAAUUUUAUUAGAACUAACUCCAUGACCAUGAAACCGUGAAUGACUGCAUACAAGUGCGUGCUAGUCCAUUUAGCACUGAUAUUGAGUCAUUUUGGUACAAGAAGUACUAUUACAUUUAGUAAAACAGAUUAAUGAAUUAGUUUUCGGAAUAAUUGAUUACAAGUGUUGAUAUUAAAUUGUACUCCCUCAGUUUCAUUUUACUCGUCUCAAAUUUUUUAAUUUGUUGUCCCAUUUUAUUUGUCCUUUUUUAUUUAUAUAGACAAGACAAUUUUUUUCCCAUUAUACCCUUAUUGUAAUUGAUUACUUCUUAUUAUUAGCAUUCUUGAAAAAUGUUGCAAAGGAGUACAAUUAAAAGUACACCAUUAAGAAUAUAAAUGGUGCUUUGGUAUUAGCAACUCAUCAAUAUUGGAACUAACAACAAGACACAAUUAAGAGGGGCAAAAUGAUAAAGUUAUAUUACUCAUCAUUGUUUUCUUAAUAGUUGUGUCAUCCCAAUUUGGGAUGGGUAAAAUGGGACGGAGAGAGUAUUUAAAGUUGGGCAGAAAUGCAGUGGCGUUUUCUUUCUAAUUGAUUGUGGGUUGAUUUAAUUUGUCGUAAUUUGUCCUAACUAUUUAUUUGUUGGUUUGAGUCUUAUUUUACAGGGCAAAUAAUUUAAGAAACUGACAUCUCUUUAGUUAAUGACCUAAUUAUGUGUUUUAAGUUUUCAUUUGGAUUAAUAAUGAAUCAGCGUUCAAUUGUCUUGCUCAUUUUCGUUUUUUAGUUAUUUGUUAUUAAUCCAACUUCCUAAAAUGGUUCAUAAUCACAAAUUUUGACGUAGCUUUUUUUCUAAAACAUUAAAGUUGUUUUUAGACCCCGACAUUUGUUAAGGCCUAAUUAAUAAUUAAUUAUUAACAUGAGGAAAAAUAAAAUGCAUUGCAGACUUAUUCAAGACCCAUCCUAUUUGAUAAAAGAAAAGAGGGGAAAAACCCUUCGACUGCCAUGGGCGAAAAAGGAGUGUGACAAUAUUGUAAUACCUCAAAAUUUUAAAGCUCUAGACCCCUCAAAAGAUACACCACUAAAUUAACUUCCCAAUGCAUCAAGUUUCGUCUUAAUUUGAUAUCGUGGCAAAAAGUUAUGCAAGUUUUUCAAAAAUUCCAGUCAGCUACCUAUGGCUACGACUCAUGUGAUUAUCCGUAACCAUACGUUUCGAAUCAUUACGAGCAGUCAUAGUUUGAAUAGAAAUGACCCUCAGGUUUAGCCCAGUGACUACGACUCCUCCCUACGACCCGUAAUCAGUUGCUAUGAGUCAUUAGGUGGGCUCGUAGCCACAACAGUGUGGAAUCAAGAAUUCAUCCAAGUGGUUAGGAGUCCAGCAUAUGACUCGUAGUUAGACAUUUUGAGUCGUUAGAUGGACUUGUAGCCUGACUAGUGAAUGACCCAAGAAUCAUUCCUCAAACUUCAACUCUACCUAAUGACUCAUAGUCAGUCAUAAUGAGUCGUUUGAGGGAAGUCACAGUCAGAGCAAAAAGGACCCAAACCUCAGGAUUCCAUGUUACGACUCAGAUUACGACCCAUGACCAGUCAUGAGGUGAGUCGUAAUGAUAGGGACGGAGUUUUUCUAUAUGUUUUUUCAAGGAAUUUUAAGUCUUUUCUGACUCACUUAAAUGCCUUACCCGCGUCGUUUGGGCUUCCAAAAGGAUGGUAAAAAAGCUUUAAAAUCUUCAAUUACACGAUUAAUCAUAAUUUCACUCAGAGAAAUCAAAAAGGGGCAUCCUCUUCUCUCCAAGGAAACUAGGGUUCUUUAAGUUCAAGCUUGAUUUCAAGAAAUCACUCAAGGCUUCUACAUCUAGGUGUGGUGGGAUAUUCAUCAAUGGUCCCUUUUCACCCAUUGAGUCCCAAAGUUUCCUAAAAAUCUCAAGUUUAGUUUACUAUUUAUGCUUAGGGUUCCACGGCAAUUAUGAGUUUUUUUUUUGGAAUUACAGUUUAUCCUUGCAAUUGAACCAUGUGUACAUGUUAUUCCCAAAAGCUUAUCACCUUUCCAUACUCAAAAUAAUGAAUUCCCUUAUUUUAAUAAUGUACUAUGUUUUGGGGUCUACAAUCAUGAAAUUUCUUAAAGUAUUCCAAUAAUGUUAUCAUGUUUAAUGUAUUCUUUUAUGCUAGUAGGUUAUAAAAACCUGAUACCUUGAUAUUCAUGUAUGUUACAGUCGUCAGGUUACAAAACAUUCAUUCCAUACUUGUAUCAUUAAAUUCAUAAUAAUAUUAUCAUGUUGAGAAUUUACCCAUUUUGAAUCGUGUUAGACUUUCAUCAGUAUCAGUAUCAUUUCAAUUGGGAGUAAAACUUAGAACCGAGCGAAUCUAGGGAUGAAUGCUCACAUGCUAGUCAAGGGUUGAGAUAUUUAGUAUCAGUCUGUAAGUUCUAGAACUACAUAGCCAGCAUAGGUUAUGAGAGGUCAUCCUGCCAAAAGAGGGUUGACACUCUCUUAGAGGUCACCUGUCAGUAGAGGUUUGACACCCUAGUCCUUCGAUAUAUCAAUCUAGUGGAUCCACACAACUAGUGUUGGUACAUAUAGAAGAUACUGACACCCUUCCAACUAGGGUCAUAGGUUAACCCCAAUUAGCUCAGAUUGGGGCAUGUCGAUUAAAUUUUAGCACCCAUAGUUUUAGUUCUUUAUUCAGACUAUAUCAGUUCAGCUUUGCAUGACCAAGUGUCCAUAUAUUAGUUAUUCAAUUAUUUAGAUCAUUUUAGUAUAUGUUUAUGCUUGGUCUUGAAUUUGUUUUACAUGUUCAAGCAUUCAUACUUACUACCCAUAUGUAUACCAGCUACUUUCUAUCUCGUAUACUUAUACGUUCAAAAUACUAACCGCAUAUUCUCUUUUGUGCUAUGUCGUCUUAUAACAUAGAUUCGAAUGCUCAGUUCCUAGAUCGUACUUAGUCCAUUUUGGUGCCACUCAACUGCAGUAAUUGUGAGUCUUUACUAGUCGAGGACUUGUUAUACUAUUAUUUAUUCAUCCUAAUAUUUCAUUUUAUGUAAUUUUAGUAGUUAGAGUUAGUUGGGGACCUGUCCCAACAACUCAUCGUGUUAGAGGCAUUUAAACAGUCAGACAGUUAGUCCUGUUGCCAAUGAUGUUUUAAGUUGCAUUUGAUAUUACUUGGAUUGAAUUAUUCAGAUAUUUUAUUUUAAAGACUUCUUCCCAGU
rnacentral:lncRNA from 1 species